rnacentral:rRNA from 1 species
GUCUGCGGUCAUGUCACCCUGAAUGUGCCCGAUCUCGGAAGCUAAGCAGGGUCAGGCCUGGUUAGUACUUGGAUGGGAGAGACCACCUAGGAAUACCAGGUUCUGUAGGUG